rnacentral:rRNA from 1 species
AUUGAACGCUGGCGGCAUGCCUAACACAUGCAAGUCGAACGGUAACAGGUCUUCGGCUUCUUCCUAGGGGCGGCCGGGGGCGGAAGACUUCGGAACGCGUCCGAUCCUGCUGUUUAGCGGGGCAAAAGGUGUGCUAACUCCCCAUACGACCUCAUACUACAAACGGGGGAUCUUCGGGCCUCUCGCGGCCUUGGCCGCCGAUGUCGGAUUAGGUAGUUGUGGGGAUAAAGGCGUACCAAGGCGACGAUCUGUAGCUGGUCUGAGAGGAUGAUGAGCCACACUGGAACUGAGACACGGCCCAGACUCCUACGGGAGGCAGCAGUGGGGAAUUUUGGACAAUGGGCGAAAGCCUGAUCCAGCCAUGCCGCGUGCAGGAUGAAGGCCUUUGGGUUGUAAACUCCUUUUGUAGGGAAAGAAAAGCAUCAUUCUAAUAAACAGAGGUCAUGACGGUACCGAAAGAAUAAGCACCGGCUAACUACGUG